rnacentral:rRNA from 1 species
UACGGUGAAUACGUUCCCGGACCUUGCACACACCGCCCCGUCAAGCCAUGGAAGCUGGGUGUACCUAAAGUCGGUAACCGUAAGGAGCCGCCUAGGGUAAAACUAGUAACUGGGGCU